GCCUCCGUAGAUUAGCGGUAAAUCGCCCUGUCAUUCUGAUCUUUCUCGUCAACCAUAACAGGGAGCUGUGGGUUCAAACCCCACCGGAGGCA